rnacentral:rRNA from 1 species
GGAUUAGAUACCCUGGUAGUCCACGCCGUAAACGAUGUCAACUAGCCGUUGGGGAUAUUUAAAUUCUUAGUGGCGCAGCUAACGCAAUAAGUUGACCGCCUGGGGAGUACGCCGGCAACGGUAAAACUCAAAGGAAUUGACGGGGGCCCGCACAAGCGGUGGAGCAUGUGGUUUAAUUCGAUGCAACGCGAAGAACCUUACCAGGCCUUGACAUCCUCGGAACUUGUCAGAGAUGACUUGGUGCCUUCGGGAACCGAGUGACAGGUGCUGCAUGGCUGUCGUCAGCUCGUGCCG